rnacentral:lncRNA from 1 species
GGGAGCUUAGAUGUGGAAGCUCUUUGGAAACCAAGAAACACUCUGAAAAUGAAAAGGGAAGCAGAAGUUCUCCUUAGCUGAUUUUUCUUCUUGCCUUAUACUGGGUUCUUUAACACCAGAACAAAAAUAAAUAAAUAAAAGAAUCUUCCAGAAAUUCAUGAAGAGACUUCAGGUCAGGAAAGCCUGAACUUUCUCAUCCAACACCCGUUCAAGUCGGAGGAUGCUGAUUAAUUCAUGAUGGAAAGGUAUCAAUUUCACAGCCCAGACCUCUACAUUCUUGAAAUGCUCUUCUCAUGGGAGACAUUAAAUAAGCUUUGAAUUAACUGUUUCCUUCUUACUACUCUAGAAAGUAUCACGGCUGACUUUUGGUCACUCUCAUGGCUUGACUCAGAUUCAUCUUCAUGGGUUUGAAUCAUUAUUCUGGCCAAAGGGUUGUAAUAUUGGCAUUAUCCAGGUCUGAGUCACAUGUUCAUCUCAGAAUCAGAUGGAAUGUACAGGGUGUACCAUGAACAAUUCUGACAUGUGAUUUAAUCUAUGUGGGACUACAUUUUAAAUACAUUUGGGAAGGAUUGAACAAUGAAGUGGAGCCCAUCAAUAUUGGUACUGAAAAUGAGACAGACCUUGUAUUGAAGACAGCGUAACCCCCAAGAGGAAAGGAGCUUGGAGCCCUGAAUCAGAGUAGAAGACAGGCUGAAUGAAUACCAGCCUUGGACUGUUGUGUGAAUGAAAAACAAGUUUUGAGAUUUGUGUGGUUUAUUUAUUAUAGUUACUGUUAUUAUUAAAGUUUUUCACUGCUUU